rnacentral:rRNA from 1 species
AUUGAACGCUGGCGGCAUGCCUUACACAUGCAAGUCGAACGGCAACACGGGAGCAAUCCUGGUGGCGAGUGGCGAACGGGUGAGUAAUAUAUCGGAACGUGCGCAGUCGUGGGGGAUAACGCAGCGAAAGCUGUGCUAAUACCGCAUACGAUCUACGGAUGAAAGCGGGGGAUCGCAAGACCUCGAGCGAUUGGAGCGGCAGAUAUCUGUAUAGCUAGUUGGUGGGGUAAAGGCCCACCAAGGCGACGAUCUGUAGGUGGUCUGAGAGGACGACCAGCCACACUGGAACUGAGACACGGUCCAGACUCCUACGGGAGGCAGCAGUGGGGAAUUUUGGACAAUGGGCGCAAGCCUGAUCCAGCAAUGCCGCGUGCAGGAUGAAGGCCUUCGGGUUGUAAACUGCUUUUGUACGGAACGAAACGGCCCUUUCUAAUACAGGGGGCUAAUGACGGUACCGUAAGAAUAAGCACCGGCUAACUACGUGCCAGCCGCCGCGGUAA